UACGGGGGGGGCAAGCGUUGUUCGGAAUUACUGGGCGUAAAGGGCUCGUAGGCGGCCAACUAAGUCAGACGUGAAAUCCCUCGGCUUAAUCGGGGAACUGCGUCUGAUACUGGAUGGCUAGAGGUUGGGAGAGGGAUGCGGAAUUCCAGGUGUAGCGGUGAAAUGCGUAGAUAUCUGGAGGAACACCGGUGGCGAAGGCGGCAUCCUGGACCAAUUCUGACGCUGAGGAGCGAAAGCCAGGGGAGCAAACGGG
rnacentral:rRNA from 1 species